UUACGUGGUGCUGCACAUGAGGCUGCUAAACAAGCUCAAGAUUCUGGUGAACGAUGUCUGCCACUUGAUUGUAGUUGUUGUACUGCACUGCAUUCAGUCUUCACUAGAAGAAAUUGGGAAUAUCUUUAUUGAACUCAGCUGAGUAAUCCGGUCUCUCAUAUCCUGAACUAUUAUAUGUAAGCCCGAGGAACUGCACCUCAUCUUCUGCCUGGAUACAUUGCAACCUUCCAGACUCAAUGAUGAUUUCAACAAUUUCAGAAACUGCCUGACCUGCAAAGUUUUUUUCCACUUUUUCUCCUGAUUAUUAUCACAUUACAUUGAUUGCUCAGUGAUUGUAGACUUCAGGAGAGUGAAACCAGAGGUCCAUGAGCCAGUAAUCAUUGAGGGAUCGGAGAUGGAGAGGAUCAGUAACUUUAACUUCCUGGGUAUCACUAUCUCAGAGGACCUGUCCUGUAGUUAAAAAGAAAGCACGACAGCACCUCUACUUCCUCAUGAGUCUGUGGAGAUUUGGCAUGUCAUCAAACACCUUGGCAAGAUUCUAUAUAUGUGUAGUGGAAAGUGUGCUGACUGGCUGCAUUAUACAACCUGGUAUGGGAACAGCAAUGCCUUUGAGUGUAAAAUCCUACAAAAGGAUUUGGCACAGUACAUCACAGGUAAAGCCUUUCCAACCACUGAGCACAUCUAUAUGAAAUGUUGCCGUAGAAAAGCAGCAUCCAUCAUCUAAGACCCUCACCGCCCAGGCAAUGCAAUUUUCUCACUGCUGCCAUCAGGUACAAGGUAUGAGUGUCUCACGACUCAUACCAGUAGGUUCAAGAACAGUUACUAUCCCUGAACUAUCAGGCUCUUGAACAAAAGGGGACAACUACACUCAUUCAAUUUCUGGUGUUCCCACAACCGAUGGUCUCACUUGAUGGAAUCUAUUAUUUCAUGCUCUCAUUAUUUAUUGCUAUUUACAUAUAUCUGUAUUUGUACAGUUUGUUGUUCAUUGAUCCUGUUUAUAGUUAAUGUUCUUUAGAUUUGCCUACUAUGUAUGUACUCUGAUAAUAUUUUUUACUUUGAAAUUUGAACUUGGCAAUUUCAUUGGUGGACAUCGUGAAGGAUGACUUGGCAGUACUAUUAUUGACCAAUCCUAUAGUUUUGGCUUUCCGUACUGUUUACAGAUUUCCUGAGUAGAAUGGGGCCAUUCAGCCCAUCACCUGCUCCAAAGCAAAGCAAACCCAUUCCCUACAAUGUCAUACUAUCCUAAAUUCUACACACUGGCUUCUAUUUGCAAUGGCCAAGUAACCUAUCCUCCCACCCAUUUGGUAUGUCAGAGGAUACUGUGGCUCCAGGAGGACAAAUAUUCAGAUCCUCUACAAAAUCACAAAAGAGCCUUAAUUUUUUAAUCAGCUCAUACCAUCCUUAGAUCUUCAAGAUUCCAGAUUUCAAGAUUCAAGAUUGUUUAAAAUUAUUUCCAGUACACAAGUUUAAAGAAGAAUGAAGUAAUUAUAACUACCGAUCUGAUAUAGCAUAAAAAAACACACUAAUAUAAAGAAAGCUCAAAAGGUAUAAAUACAUAAGAUAUAUUAUGUAUGUAGAUUAAUAGUACAUCAAUCUAUUUUAAUCUGCAUAAUCAAUCUAAUUAGUUGUUGCAAAUGUUGUCAUUUUCAAAUAUCUAUUCAUUUUCAAAUGAAUAAAAACACACUGAAUUUAAUGACAGUGGUAGAAGACAGCAAAACUCCACACCUCCCUUUCACCAUCUUCACUUACCUAUCUUCUGCCAUUUCUGGAGUUUUGUCUUCUCUAAGAGCCUGUCUCAGGAGCUCCAAAGGUGGGGAUUUUGCACCACGUCAUCCAAGGCCUAGUUUCAAGGAGAGAGGAGCUAGAGAUAUUGACCCUAGCCCAAUAGGAUGACAUGGUAGUGUAGUGGUAAGCACAAUGCUUUACAGCAUAGACAACCAAGGUUCAAUUCCCACUGCUGCCUCUAAGGAAUUUGUAUGCUCUCCCUGGGACCGCAUGGGUUUCCGCCAGGUGCUCCAGUUUCCUUCCACAGUUCAAAGUUGGUAGGUUAAUUGGUCAUUGUGAAUUGUCCCAUGAUGAGGCUAGGAACACGGCUCAAGGGGCUGGGAGGGCCUGUUCCAUACCACAUCUCAAUAAAAUAAAAUUUUAAAAGCUCCAGGCAUGCAGACUCCACAGGUGACAAUUCAGCCUCAUUCAGAAUAAUCUAGCCUCAUAACUCUCUGGAUGAUUUGAACAUCAGUUAUAGAAAAUUAGAAGUGAAUAAACCAACAUAAAUCAGUUUUACAGAGAACUCUUGCAGCCAACUCACAGAAGAAGCAUUUACUUUAAUAUUUGUGAACUGAAUUAAAAUCCAUAUGUGCAUAGAUAGCAUUUAACACAUUUCUUUAUUCUGUCUAUCUUUGCUUCCUGCCUUGCUUAUCAUGAAGUACCAAAUUCAACUGGUGGUAUGUUAAAUAAACCUAAUAAGAUAAGUUAUAUUCCCUCUGGGGGUUGUGUAACAUUUUUAGGGGGAGGGAUGGUUGUCUGUUCUUCAAAAGAUGUAAAUUUGGUGGUGAAAAUAUUGUAAGGUCAGAAGCUGCAGCUGAUUGUAAAAGCAGCACAUCUGCACAUAAGCAAUCGUGCAACAUGGGAGGAAAAUUAGAACACAAACAGAUUUGGUAUCUCGUGUUUUAUUAACCAGCUUAUUGGUAGAUCACAAGGCUGUACUCAGGGGUGUGCAAUAAAAUAUUCAUCGCUUAAUCAAAAUGAGCAGCAGUGCAUUUGCUUAUUCAACAAAGAGGUGCAAGAAGCGAUUCAUGAGGAUGAUCCCAGGAUUGAACGGGUUAAUUUACGAAGAGAGUUUGAUGGCUCUGGGCCUGUGCACGCUGGAAUUUAGAAAAAUGAGCAUCUCACCAGAACCAAAUGGCGUAAUUCUGUUCCUUUCUCUGAUGGUCAACUGUUUGGAUGUUCCUCGGGUCUUUCCAUGCAUAAUUUUGUCCACAGAGAACCAUUUAUCACAGUUCAAAAGUUAGUCUUUGUGAAGAAUUGCUGCAGCCUCUGGAUAUGAUACAAGGAAAUAUUAAAGAUGUAAGCAAAGAGGCAGACUCUUGUUGUAGCAAUUGCAGUGUUCUGAAAGGCAGUCUUGAUAUAUUUCAAUUAAUGGUUUCCCACUGCGUAUAGCAAACAAGCAGCUGUUAAAUACACAGGCAUUUUAGUCAACAACAAACAAUUUAAAUUAACAUUUAUGUCUGUGGUGGUUCCAAGCACAACAAAUGGCACAUAUUUCCCCAAACACCAUGGUAUGCACAAGACAUAUCUAUUACAUACAUGGAUGUGUGAAAUGUACUGAGUUUCUGGCAACUGAGGAGAUAAUAUCGUAACUCCUGACUGGGCAUA